AGCAAGACAUGAGACCUCUACCUACUCACUCAGAAUCAUUUCUGCACCAACCAUGGCCACCUUCGUAGAGCUCAGUACCAAAGCCGAGAUGCCCACUGUGGGCCUGGGCACUUAGAAGUCUCCUCUCAGCAAAAUGAAAGAAGUGGUGAAGGUGGCCAUUGAUGCAGGAUAUCGCCACAUUGACUGUGCCUAUGUCAAACAGAAUGAACAUGAGGUGGGGGAAGUCAUCCAAGAGAAGGCUGUGAAGUGGGAAGACCUCUUCAUCAUCAACAAGUUGUGGUCCACUUUCUUUGAGAGACCCCUUGUGAGGAAGGCCUAUGAGAAGACCCUCAAGGACCUGAAGCUUAGCUAUCUGGAUGUCUAUCUUAUUCACUAGCCACAGGGAUUCAAGUCUGGGGAUGACUUUUUCCCAAAAGAUGAUAAAGGUAAUAUGAUCAGUGGAAAAGCAAUGUUCUUGGACGCCUGGGAGGCCGUGGAGGAGCUGAUGGACGAGGGGCUGGCAAAAGCCUUUGGGGUCUCCAAUUUCAACCACUUCCAGAUAGAAAGGCUCUUGAACAAACCUGGACUGAAAUAUAAACCAGUGACUAACAGGCUGAGUGUCACCCAUACCUCAUGCAGGAGAAACUGAUCCAGUAUUGCCACUCCAAGGGCAUCACCAUUAUGGCCUACAGCCCCUUAGGCUCUCCAGACAGAUCUUGGGCCAAGCCAGAGGACCCUUCCCUGCUGGAGAACCCCAAGAUUAAGGAGAUUGCUGCAAAGCACAAAAAACUGCAGCCUGGGUUCUGAUCUGUUUCCAUAUCUAGAGGAAUGUGAUUAUGAUCCCCAAGUCUGUGACACCAGCACGCAUUGUUGAAAACAUUCAGGUCUUUGACUUUAAAUUGAAUGAUGAGGAGAUGGCAACCAUACUCAGCUUCAACAGAAACUGGAAGGCCUGUAACAUGUUGCAAUCCUCUCAUUUGGAGGACUAUCCCUUUGAUGCAGAAUACUGAGGUUGAAUCUCCUGGUGAGAUUACACAGGGGAUUCUCUUUCUUCGCUGAAGUGUGACUAUCUCCACUCAAGUCCUAUUUUAGCCAAGCUUAUCUGAGAUCACAGGAAACUUCGUUCUAUUGUAGGCCAGAAUCAAGGUGCUGUUUUAGACAUUUAUUUCUGCAUGUUCAACUAGGAUCAGAAUAUCACAGAAAAGCAUGACUUGAAUAAGCAAAUGACAAUUUUUUCCACAUAUCUGGUCUGAACAAAUGUUUGUUAAGCACCAGAAACUCUGCCAACACUGAGGAUGUAAAGAUAAAUAAUAAAAAAUAAUGAUGGUAA